rnacentral:tRNA from 1 species
AGCUGGAUAGCUUAGUGGUUAGAGCGCCUUUGAAUGUGGAGGCGGUGGUUCGAAUCCACCUCUGGCUCA